GAAAAAGUCGUAACAAAGGGUUUCCGUAGGGUGAACCUGCGGAAGGAUCAUUACAGAGAAACUUGCCCCUUCGGGGUAGAUCUCCCACCCUGUGUUUACGUUACCAUGUUGCUUUGACGGGCCCGUCCCUCGGGACCGCCGGCUCCGGCUGGCCCGUGCCCGUCAGAGGACCCAAAACUCUUGUUUAAACGUCGUCUGAGUACUAUAUAAUAGUUAAAACUUUCAACAACGGAUCUCUUGGUUCUGGCAUCGAUGAAGAACGCAGCGAAAUGCGAUAAGUAAUGUGAAUUGCAGAAUUCAGUGAAUCAUCGAAUCUUUGAACGCACAUUGCGCCCUCUGGUAUUCCGGGGGGCAUGCCUGUUCGAGCGUCAUUACAACCCUCAAGCUCUGCUUGGUAUUGGGUGCCGCCCCCCACGGGGCGCGCCUUAAAGACAGUGGCGGUGCCGUCCGGCUCCAAGCGUAGUAAUUCUUCUCGCUCUGGAGGACCGGUCGUGCGCUUGCCAGCAACCCCCAAUUUUUCAGGUUGACCUCGGAUCAGGUAGGGAUACCCGCUG
rnacentral:rRNA from 1 species